GCAGAUUUUUAGUUUAUUUACCAACUAGACAAUAAGCAGCUGUAUAAAUGGAUCAGCAGCAGAUUUUUAGUUUAUUUACCAACUAGACAAUAAGCAGCUGUAUAAAUGGAUCAGCAGCAGAUUUUUAGUUUAUUUACCAACUAGACAAUAAGCAGCAGAUUUUUAGUAUAUUUACCAACUAGACAAUAAGCAGCAGAUUUUUAGUAUAUUUACCAACUAGACAAUAAGCAGCAGAUUUUUAGUUUAUUUACCAACUAGACAAUAAGCAGCUGUAUAAAUGGAUCAGCAGCAGAUUUUUAGUUUAUUUACCAACUAGACAAUAAGCAGCUGUAUAAAUGGAUCACAAAAUGGAAAUGAAAAGGCCCGAUGGUGGCGCUAGAGGAAAGGUCAAGAGGUCACCAAACCCAACAAGUCUCUUCCACUUGGGGGUCUUGAUUGUGCACAACAAAUUGUACGGCAAUCCAGCCAUUACUUUGAGAUGUAUCUUGUUCUCAGCCUGUGGGCAUCAUGUGUGUCGUGAUCCAAUGUCCAUAUCCAUUUAACAGUUAUCUUGCUCAGCCUUUACUCACCAAGAGCCCAGCGCCGAGCCUUCUUCCUAGCGAAGACACUGAUCAAGUCUUUGAAGUCCAGCUUUCAAGCUGACUGACUUUCAAUGGAACAGCAUGACAAGACUGCAAAGCCUGUCCUGGGACAUAGUGGACCUCUAAUUAGUUAAAAAAACAGUUUUAGUUUACUGAAAGCUCUCUCACCACCAGCAACAGUCACAGGCAGUGGCAAAAUAUACGUAAAGCAAUGCACACUUCUCCCAGAAUGCUUUGCAGCUGCAUCUUACCAAUUCAGCAUAUACAGUGUUCAGGAGACCGAGAGGGGAAGGGUCAGCAUAUACAGUGUUCAGGAGACCAAGAGGGGACAGGUUAGGAGGGGAAGGGUCAGUAUAUACAGUGUUCAGGAGACCAAGAGGGGACAGGUUAGGAGGGGAAGGGUCAGUAUAUACAGUGUUCAGGAGACCAAGAGGGGAAGGGUCAGCAUAUACAGUGUUCAGG
ensembl:lncRNA